CGGGUAACGGGGAAUCAGGGUUCGGUUCCGGAGAGGGAGCAUGAGAAAUGGCUGCCAGAUCUAUGGAUUGCAGCAGGUGCGUAAAUUAUCCACUUUUGGCAUAAAGAGAUAGUGAUCAUAAAUAGCGGCUUCGGGUAUUUGCCUGGAGAUCGCAAUGAAAUAAUCGUAAAAGCUUUAAUGAAUGCAAUUGGAGGGCAAGUCUGGUGCCAGCAGCCGCGGCAAUUCCAGUUCCAAUAGUGUAUACUAAAGUUGCUGCAGUUGAAAAGCUCGUAGUUGGAUCUCGGCUUGCUAGCGUGUGUGAGCGCGCAAGUAGGCCUUUGCUGUAGUUUCACACUACGGCUUUACCUUGAACAAAAUAGAGUGCUUAAAGCAAGCAUUCUGCUUGAAUAUCUCAGCAUGGAAUAAUAGAAUACGACUUUUCUGUUGGUUUACCAGCAAAAGUAAUGAUUAACAGAGACAGACGGGGGCAUCCGUAUUGCUCCGUUAGAGGUGAAAUUCGUAGAUCGGUGCAGGACGUACUACAGCGAAAGCAUUUGCCAAGGAUGUUUUCAUUAAUCAAGAACGACAGUUGGAGUAUCGAAGUCGAUUAGAUCUCGUCGUAGUUCCAACUAUAAACGAUGCCAACUAGCACUCCGCUGGUAAUAUUUUUUUUACACUAGCGGGUGGCUUCCGGGAAACCAAAGUCUUUGGGCUCCGGGGGAAGUAUGGUUGCAAAGCUGAAACUUAAAGGAAUUGACGGAAGGGCACCACCAGGAGUGGAGCUUGCGGCUCAAUUUGACUCAACACAGAAAAACUCACCCGGGCCGAACACAGUAAGGAUUGACAAAUUGACAGCUUUUUCUUGAUACUGUGGGUAGUGUGCAUGGCCGUUGUUGGUUGGUGGAGUGAUUUGUCUGGUUUAUUCCGAUAACGAACGAGACUCAGACCUACUUACUAGUCGUUAGAUUACUAAAAGGUUUAACAACUACUAAGAGGGAGCAGUGUCAAAAACACUUGAAAAUGAACAAUAACAGGUCUGUGAUUGCCCUUAGACGUUCGGGGCCGCACGCGUGCUACAAUGAAGAAAGCAAUGGGUGUCUUGCUUGGUAAAGCCGGCUUAACCUUAAAAUUUCUUCGUGGCAGGAAUCGAGGCUUGUAAUUAUUCCUCGUGCGCAAGGAACCUUAUCCCUUUCCUUUUUUCCCCUCCCUUUACCUUUAAAAAAAAAAACUUAAACAAACAUUCUCCUUGAUAUCUCACCUGGAAAAAAAAAAAAAAACCUUUCUGUUUAUUUUUAACCCAAGAAUGUUUUACAGAAACCAAGCGGGGGGGCCCCCUUUCUCCUCUUAAAGAGGAAAACUUCAAAUAGGGGUGGACGGUGUAACACCAAGAAUUUGUUCCGGAGGGUUUUUUAUUUCUACACACCACAGGGGAGGAUCACACAAUCAAAUAUCUCCCCAAUUACCCCCUAAAAAAAGCAACAAACCACCGCGCGGGGAUUUUUUUUUUACAUCCAAGGGGGGUGACGAAAAAAAAAUCUUUUUGCCUCCGCGAGAUAUAUUUGCGCUCUAAAAUUUAUCAUAAUAGUAAAAGAAAGGGCCCCCCCCCACAAGGGCUGGUGGUUCCUUUUUUUUUCUCCCCCCAAAGAAAACUCCCCCCCCCAGAACAAAAGAAUAGAAAAAAUAACUAAUUUUUUUUUUUUUUCUUUAAAUUAUUGAGACCUGCCCGUCCUCCCUU
rnacentral:rRNA from 1 species